UGAUUUUCAAAGCCAGACAUGUCUCACACAAAGAUUGCUCACUACAGGGGUAGGGACUUGGGGGAGGAGGAAAUACCAGACUCGUUCCUCUUCACCCUGAGAAUGACCAGUAGAUGAACUGCCUGGAUUUUGACUGCAUUCAGAAAUUUCUGACCACAGGACUCACAGAUCAUCUUUUUAAGUUCUGGGGAUGAUAUGAAACAUCUGAAUGGCUUAUUCUAUCCCUGAGAACUGGCAUCCAGAACUAACUUGGUAGCCCCACCCUUGGGGUGGGGAAGAGCUCAAGAACUCGUAGGAGUGAAGCCUUUCCCGCUCGCUUGCUGCUCCUCCUAAAUGUUUCCUCUGUAGCUGCAUAGGCUGGCAGGCAGCCUGAGAUGGAGCCCUUCUCAGAAGACCCCCACCUCUGCUGGGCUGCCCGGCUCCUGGGACUCACCAGCCUCCUCCUCAGCAUCUGCAGCACAGUGGUCCAGAGUUCUGGAAAAUAUGAUUCUGAAGUUCAGAAUUCUGGAUUUGUUCCCAUGCAGGGGAUUCAAGGAGGUUCCGUGUUGUUUCAUAUAGUCAAGAAGCAAGAAGCUGACCCAGAGGAGGUCUCAUGGGGCUUUGGCCCUGAGUCAAACUACAGAGUCAUGCUGCGAGUCCGCCGUGGAACAGACACCCCAACCUGGGUCAGCCUCCAGGAGAAGUACCAGCACAGGGUCCAUGUGCCCAAUGUGACAUCCCUGAGGAUUGAGAACCUGACCCCAGAGGACAGUGGGCAGUACCGGGCUCGAGUCAGCUUCACUGGAGGAAGAGAAAGUAGCCAGGUUUUCCACCUCACUGUCUAUGAGCCCAUGCUUCUUCCUGAGAUCCUGGUCAAGUCAUUAUCCAUCACACCAGACUGGUGCAAUAUCACCCUGGAGUGCAGGGACCCAGGGAACAGAGAGGACCUGGAGGUGACCUGGGAGAGUGAGGGUCUUCCCAGGGAGCUGGAGUGGAGUGGGACACCAGGACCAGCCCCCAGCUCCUGGAGCCUGCAUGUGAACUUGUUCCUGAGCCAGCCCAAUGCCAGCCUCACCUGUGUGGUCAACAACCAUGUGGACAAGAAAAUUGCCACUGUAGACUUUGGGAAAGUCUGUUUCCCUGGUUCACAAGAACAGACCAUUGCUGGUCUCCUGGAAGGCAUCCUAUGGGCCGUCGUGGUUGUGCUAUUCUUCCUGGGAACUGGACUGUACUUUUGGAAGACAUAUAAGAAGGAAAGGAACACAGAGAAUGGAAGAGGAGCAGCAUUGCAGGAGGACCACAGGAACCAAGGUGAUGGCGACUGGGCAGAGCAGAGCCAGGAAGAGUUUCAAGAAGGCAUGUACCAGGUGAGAGGCGGGAGCUGAGCUCGUCCUAGGCUUACUAGGUCCUCUGCAGCUGCACUUGUGCUUAUCAAACCUAGUCACUGCUAUUUCUGGUCCUACUGUUCUGAACAACCAACAGCAUUAACUAGGACAAUUUAUAUAUGAGGCCUGUGUGGUACUGGGUACUUAGGGGGAACCAUAAACAGUGCAUGUCAGCAGCAUUUGUUCUAUGUGGGUUCCUUUGUGGUCCAUUGUUUAGUCACUAAGUCACAUCCAACUCUUUGCAACCCCAUGGACUGUAGCACUCCAGGCUUCCCUAACCUUUCCUAUCUCGUGAAGCUUGUUCAAAUUCAUGCUUAUUCAGUUGGUGAGGCCAUGCAACCAUCUCAUCCUCUUUCACUCCCUUCUCCUCCUGCCCUCAAUCUUUUCUAGCAUCAGGGUCUUUUCCAAUGAGUUGGCUGUUCACAUAGGGUGGUCAAAGUAUUGGAGCUUCAGCUUCAGCAUCAGUCCUUCCAACGAAUAUUCAGGACUGAUCUCCUUUAGGAUUGACUGGUUGGAUCUCCUUGCAGUCCAAGGGAUUCUCA
ensembl:lncRNA